GUUGCCGACCGAAUAACACAGGCUGAAGGGACGAUUCGCACAGACCGAAGAGCACAGGCCGAAGGUAUUAAUCAAUAAUAAUUUCCAUUGCCAAUAAUAAUAAUAAAAAGGAAAAAAAAUCAACCUAAGUUCUUGAUAUCUAAGCCAAGUGGAGUUGUUCAAUAUUAGUAGAAAUGAUGAAAAUGAAAUAAAAAUCAACUCUGUCAACUUUUAUUUUCUCAUUUCUUUCUGGAUAUGAUGCAUGCUGGUUAAUUGUAUAUAUGUAUUUACAUAUUUUAUAAAGAUCAUUGAAUCAUUGCCUCGUUUGUUUGAACUUUGAACAAUAUUAUUUUAGUUUGUGCUUUCAUUCUAUUGUAGAUUGUGUGUAUCUGGGUCUGGUUUUUCUGACCAAUUUGAGUGUUGUUGAUUUGUCUGGAUUUUUUUUUUGUACAUAUAUUUUUUUUUCUUUUCAUUGGGUGAUAUCAAAUAAAAGAAAGCUCGUGAUUUUAUUUUAUUGUUCAUCGAGGUGUAUCAUGGGAUCCGUUUAUUUCAAUUUUUUUAUUUUUCUGUUGCAUUCUUUCUGCCUGACCAUUCAAGUAACGAAAAUAGCAUUUAUAAUUUAUUCCAUUGUUUGAAGAAGUUUAAUAUAUUUGCGUAAAUUGGUAAGCAAUGAAUAAAUUUUGCAACUUCAGAAAGUAGACCAAUGUUAUUCAGAUUCUAUAUAUAUAUUCAUAUAAAUGGGGUGAUAGUCUAUAAAACCAGAGCUCACUGUGCAAGCUGAGCCAAUCAUGGACCCUUAUGGCCCUUCUAUAGUUGAUGAAAAUUUGGAAGCUAUAGUGGUCAGGUUAGUUUUGGAUUAACUUCUUUUUUGGGACAUUUCAUUGAAAUUUAUACAUGAUGAUAAGAAUUAUGAUUUGGCCAUUAAACUGGUUUUUCAAGUGGAUUAGUUGAAUUUUGUUUGAUUAAUGAGCCAGAAGAAGAAAAGUUUGACUGAUUUUGGUUAUGGCAGUAAGGAGACUUUACCAGGUGGAGUUUCAAUCAAUAAAAAGAGAGUUGAAAAAGGACUUUCACAACUAAAGGUUUUCACUUUGUUUCUUUCUACUCUCUUCUGAUUUUGGAUUAUCAAACCCAGUUUUAGAUAUUAUUCAAUUAUGGAAGUUUAUGGAACUAAUAAUAAACUAUAUUAUAUAAUAUAAUCUCUUAUACUAUAACAAGCUCCCCUUUCUCCUUCAAGCAAGAGAUGUUGGUCUCAUUCUCACUUUCGUCUUGAGUAGUCUUUUAUUUUUCUCUUUGGAAAGCAAUUAAUGUAUGUAUGCUAAUAUAUAAUAUAUUAAAAGCUACACAUGAGGAUAUAUAAUGAUAACUUCCAUGUCUAAUUUCAAUAGCUCGAGUAAUUAAUAAUCUCCAAAAUGGCCAGUCGACAACAUCAUUCAAUUCCUGUUAUGUAUAAUUCAUCUCAAUAAGUUUAAUUAAUUUCUCAAUAUAUAUAUAUCUUUGCAUAGCAUGUUAUAUAGCUUGGUUCUUAGCAAAAAUGGCAUAUAUAUGCAUGCCUCUUCCCCUUGUGGUAUUGAGGGUAAUCAAAUACUAUCGAUCAGAUCAUCACACUCUUCUUUGUAUAGAUUAUUGAGUAGAACAUCAUUUAUAUCAAUCAUUAAUAUUAGUUUAUGUAGCUAUAUAUAGUUAAUUAAUUAGGAGACUCUAGCUAUACAUGAUAUGUUUCUUGAAUUUGGUUUGUCUUGUUCAUGCAGCUUCUAAUUGAUGGUAACUUAUUAUUACAGUAACAUAAUUGUUGGUCCCUUUUGUGUGUUUAUAAUUUGUUUUUGUUUGCAUAUUGUAAUGUGGUACUGACAGCUUAAAACAAUGGCCAUGAGUACUUAUCCCCAAAAAAAUCAGAGCUCUAUCUCGUCGUUCUCCUGACUCCCUACUCUCUCCAUCUUGCUGUCAUCUCUUGGUUUUUUGAGGUACUCUUGCUCGUCUUUGGUGUGUGUGGCGUCGUCUCCAGUGGUGGCUAUUCUCUCUUCCCAUUAAAGGGCCUAAUUUGAAGUAAUUUGGAUACAAUUUUUAGUUUUGUUGUCUUAGUUUUGAAGGUUGCCUACAAAAUAAUCAGACAACUCUGGAAUGAACUCUUUUUCCUUGGAUACAUAUUUGAAAUCAAGUAUGCCUCUCUUUCCCUCCACAUAUUGAAAGAGGUUUAUUAGUCACUCCAUUGGGACUGGGAGGGAGGUAUUUAUGAGAGAACAUAUAGUUUUAUGGUGUCACACAUGUAUUAGUAGUUAAAGAACGAAGAACUUUUGUUGAUAGAUUUUUUUUUACACUCCAAAAAAUAAAUGACUUAUUUUUUUUUUCUUGCUUGGGAAACCCCAUGUAUGUUUGUUUCAUUUUUCAGUAAAGAAUAUAGUGAAGUAACUGCUUUAUAUCAUGAUUAUAACUAUUGAAUUAGGCUAGAAACUGUUGAAAAUAUGAUUUAUAAUAUUUAGCAUCCAAGAGGAUGUAAUAGUGCAGUAUUUGUUCUAUAUUGAUAUUUGAACGGCUGUAGGUAGCAAUUGAGGUCGUGAAAAGGUAGCCAUCAUCAUAGAGAUUUCCUAGCUUUUAGCAAAAAGAAUAUAACAAUAGUUAAAAGACGGGACUAGGAAAGUUUGAUGAAAUUUUCAUGCUAUAUAACCUUUUAUAGGAUAAGAUCUUUGGCAAGCAAUUAAUUAAAUGUAUUGUUUUGUAAAAAGGUUUUGGAUAAUAAGUUGAGGGUAAUAUGAUUCUUUUGAGAAGUUUCUGAAUUACUUGGGAUUUUGGCACUAAAUAGAUCCAUGCAUUAUUUGUGAAAUACAACUAUAUUUUUAGUUCUAUAUCUUGUAUUAAUUUUCUAUUUCUAAGUAUGCUCUCUUCCCCUAACAUUUUCAUUAUAUGACAAAGGAUAUUGGCUAAUCGACAAUCUGCUACUCGCUCAAAGGAGAGGAAAGCUCGCUAUAUACAGGAACUUGAGCGAAAAUUUGAGACUCUUCAAAUAGAAGCUACAACUCUAUCUGCCCAACUCACACUCUUUCAGACUCUUCAAACAUUGGUAGUUGAAGUUAGAAUUUUACUAACUUUGUUGUAAAUAUUUAGAAUAUAUUUCACUAACUUUGUAUACAUUUCUUGUUUAAUAUUUGGUGAUGAUAGAAUUUGACUAUAGUAUAAACUAUGUAAUAUGAUUUUGUAAGCCGAGUAGAAUAAAUAUUGAAAUUAUAUUUUUGAGUAAUUAAUAAAAAAUUAUUUUUGUUGUAUUUUC